rnacentral:tRNA from 1 species
GGGGAUUUAGCUCAGUGGCAUAAGUGCCUGCCUUGCAAGCAGGCAGUUGUGCGUUCGAUCCCCA